AGAGUUUGAUCCUGGCUCAGGAUGAACGCUAGCGGCAGGCCUAACACAUGCAAGUCGAGGGGCAGCGGGAGUGCUUGCACUCGCCGGCGACCGGCGCACGGGUGCGGAACGCGUAUGGAAUCUACCUCUUUCUGGGGAAUAGCCCAUGGAAACGUGGAUUAAUACCCCAUAGUAUUCAGAGAUCGCCUGAUCUCUGUCUUAAAGCUUUGGCGGAAAGAGAUGACCAUGCGUAUCAUUAGCUAGUAGGCGAGGUAACGGCUCACCUAGGCAACGAUGAUUAGGGGUCCUGAGAGGGAGAUCCCCCACACUGGUACUGAGACACGGACCAGACUCCUACGGGAGGCAGCAGUGAGGAAUAUUGGACAAUGGUCGAAAGACUGAUCCAGCCAUGCCGCGUGCAGGAUGAAUGCCCUAUGGGUUGUAAACUGCUUUUAUACGGGAAGAACACCACCCACGUGUGGGUGACUGACGGUACCGUAAGAAUAAGGACCGGCUAACUCCGUGCCAGCAGCCGCGGUAAUACGGAGGGUCCAAGCGUUAUCCGGAAUCAUUGGGUUUAAAGGGUCCGUAGGCGGGCUAUUAAGUCAGAGGUGAAAGUUUGCAGCUCAACUGUAAAAUUGCCUUUGAUACUGGUAGUCUUGAGUUAUAGUGAAGUGGUUAGAAUAUGUGGUGUAGCGGUGAAAUGCAUAGAUAUCACAUAGAAUACCAAUUGCGAAGGCAGAUCACUAACUAUAUACUGACGCUGAUGGACGAAAGCGUGGGGAGCGAACGGGAUUAGAUACCCCGGUAGUCCACGCCGUAAACGAUGGAUACUAGCUGUUGGAUUUUUUCAGUGGCUAAGCGAAAGUGAUAAGUAUCCCACCUGGGGAGUACGUUCGCAAGAAUGAAACUCAAAGGAAUUGACGGGGGCCCGCACAAGCGGUGGAGCAUGUGGUUUAAUUCGAUGAUACGCGAGGAACCUUACCAGGGCUUAAAUGGGAAAUGACAGGGGCAGAGACGCCCCCUUCUUCGGACAUUUCUCAAGGUGCUGCAUGGUUGUCGUCAGCUCGUGCCGUGAGGUGUCAGGUUAAGUCCUAUAACGAGCGCAACCCCUACCGUUAGUUGCCAGCGAGUCAUGUCGGGGACUCUAACGGGACUGCCGGUGCAAACCGUGAGGAAGGUGGGGACGACGUCAAAUCAUCACGGCCCUUACGUCCUGGGCCACACACGUGCUACAAUGGUAGGUACAGAGGGAAGCCACCCCGCGAGGGGGAGCGGAUCUACAAAACCUAUCUCAGUUCGGAUCGGAGUCUGCAACUCGACUCCGUGAAGCUGGAAUCGCUAGUAAUCGGAUAUCAGCCAUGAUCCGGUGAAUACGUUCCCGGGCCUUGUACACACCGCCCGUCAAGCCAUGGAAGCUGGGGGUGCCUGAAGUCCGUCACCGAAAGGAGCGGCCUAGGGCAAAACUAGUAACUAGGGCUAAGUCGUAACAAGGUAGCCGUACCGGAAGGUGCGGCUG
rnacentral:rRNA from 1 species